rnacentral:rRNA from 1 species
GGGUGAGUAACACGUGGGUAACCUGCCUGUAAGACUGGGAUAACUCCGGGAAACCGGGGCUAAUACCGGAUGGUUGUUUGAACCGCAUGGUUCAAACAUAAAAGGUGGCUUCGGCUACCACUUACAGAUGGACCCGCGGCGCAUUAGCUAGUUGGUGAGGUAACGGCUCACCAAGGCGACGAUGCGUAGCCGACCUGAGAGGGUGAUCGGCCACACUGGGACUGAGACACGGCCCAGACUCCUACGGGAGGCAGCAGUAGGGAAUCUUCCGCAAUGGACGAAAGUCUGACGGAGCAACGCCGCGUGAGUGAUGAAGGUUUUCGGAUCGUAAAGCUCUGUUGUUAGGGAAGAACAAGUACCGUUCGAAUAGGGCGGUACCUUGACGGUACCUAACCAGAAAGCCACGGCUAACUACGUGCCAGCAGCCGCGGUAAUACGUAGGUGGCAAGCGUUGUCCGGAAUUAUUGGGCGUAAAGGGCUCGCAGGCGGUUUCUUAAGUCUGAUGUGAAAGCCCCCGGCUCAACCGGGGAGGGUCAUUGGAAACUGGGGAACUUGAGUGCAGAAGAGGAGAGUGGAAUUCCACGUGUAGCGGUGAAAUGCGUAGAGAUGUGGAGGAACACCAGUGGCGAAGGCGACUCUCUGGUCUGUAACUGACGCUGAGGAGCGAAAGCGUGGGGAGCGAACAGGAUUAGAUACCCUGGUAGUCCACGCCGUAAACGAUGAGUGCUAAGUGUUAGGGGGUUUCCGCCCCUUAGUGCUGCAGCUAACGCAUUAAGCACUCCGCCUGGGGAGUACGGUCGCAAGACUGAAACUCAAAGGAAUUGACGGGGGCCCGCACAAGCGGUGGAGCAUGUGGUUUAAUUCGAAGCAACGCGAAGAACCUUACCAGGUCUUGACAUCCUCUGACAAUCCUAGAGAUAGGACGUCCCCUUCGGGGGCAGAGUGACAGGUGGUGCAUGGUUGUCGUCAGCUCGUGUCGUGAGAUGUUGGGUUAAGUCCCGCAACGAGCGCAACCCUUGAUGUUAGUUGCCAGCAUUCAGUUGGGCACUCUAAGGUGACUGCCGGUGACAAACCGGAGGAAGGUGGGGAUGACGUCAAAUCAU